GUUCCUACGGGAGGCAGCAGUAGGGAAUAUUGCUCAAUGGGGGAAACCCUGAAGCAGCAACGCCGCGUGGAGGAUGAAGGUUUUCGGAUUGUAAACUCCUUUUGUUAGAGACGAUAAUGACGGUAUCUAACGAAUAAGCACCGGCUAACUCCGUGCCAGCAGCCGCGGUAAUACGGAGGGUGCAAGCGUUACUCGGAAUCACUGGGCGUAAAGAGCGCGUAGGCGGGAUAGCAAGUCAGAUUUGAAAUCCUAUGGCUUAACCAUACAACUGCAUUUGAAACGGUUCUUCUAGAGUAUG
rnacentral:rRNA from 1 species